rnacentral:lncRNA from 1 species
GGAAGGGGUGCUGGUCGAUCUUCAUCGGCUUGGCCGAUUUUGUUGGAACUUCAAAUUUAAGUCUGCCUUGCUCGAUGGCCGACUGUAUCUGCUGCCGGAAUAUUUUGCAUUUGUUUGUAUCAUGGGAAGUAGCGUUAUGCCACUUGCAAUAUUUUAUCUGUUUCAGCUGUUCGGCAGAAGGAAUCGUAUGAUACGGUGAGAGCUUGAUCUAUCCUUCCUGGAGGAGUA